rnacentral:rRNA from 1 species
UACGGGGGGAGCAAGCGUUGUUCGGAUUUACUGGGCGUAAAGAGCGUGUAGGCGGCCAGGUAGGUCUGCUGUGAAAACUCGAGGCUCAACCUCGAGACGCCGGCGGAAACCAUCUGGCUAGAGUCCGGAAGAGGAGAGUGGAAUUCCUGGUGUAGCGGUGAAAUGCGUAGAUAUCGGAAGGAACAUCAGUGGCGAAAGCGACUCCUGGACCAGUACCGACGUUCAGGCACGAAAGCGUGGGGAGCAAACAGGA